rnacentral:tRNA from 1 species
GCCAUGGUAACUCAGCUUGGUUAGAGUGCCAGACUCAUACUCUGGAAGUCGUGGGUUCAAAACUCUUCAAAUGCG